rnacentral:lncRNA from 1 species
UUCAGUCUCUUUACAGCCAGUCACUUCCACAACAUUUAGUAGUUCUACUUCUACAGCUCCUUUACACACAGUCACUUCCACAACAUCUACCAGUCCCACUACUACAGGUGAAUGUGUAGCUGAACUGGAAUGUGGCUUUCAAGAGAAGCUUCUCCUAAUACCUGUCUUCAUGAUGAACACAGAUGUUAAAUCAGUCUUAAAUGCUGAAUUUCUGCUUCCACAUGUUUUGUUUCAGUUCAUUUACAACCAGCCACUUCCACAACAUCUACUACUUCUACUUCAGCAGCUCCUUUACACACGGUCACUUCCACAACAUCUACCAGUCCCACUAUUACAGGUGAAUGUGUUGCCGAACUGUAAUGUGGCUUUCAAGAGAAGCUCCUACUAAUACCCGUCUUCAAGAUAAACACAAUGUUUAAGCAGACUUAAAUGCUGAAUUUCUGCUUCCACAUGUUUUGUUUCAGUUCAUUUACAACCAGUCUCUUCCACAACAUCUACUACUUCUACUUCAGCAGGUGAGAAUAAUUUUAGACUAAAUGUGACCAUUUAAAAUAAAUCCUUCAAUGUUAUCCUUGUUGCUGAACACUUUUUUUUCAUCUGAGAUUUUUUUUUUUUUUUUUUUUUUAAGUUUCUUUAAAGAGGUCCUAUUAUGCUCUUUUACAAAGACUUGAUUUUGUUUUGGGGGGCAUUAGAACAUGCUAUAAUGCUUAGUGGUUCAAAAAAACACAUUAUUUUUCACAUAAUUGCAUUAUUACAAUUCCUUUCUCCCCAGCCUGGCUCAAACAGCUUGAUUAGAUCUUGUCCACCUUCCAAAAAACUAAAUGUGUUUGUGACUGGUUAGUUGUCCCAGUAAGCUGUGAUUGGCGAACAGUUUAGAUAGUGUUUCAGUAUUGCCCCACCCCUUGCCAAAGCAGCUGUUAGCAUAAUGUCAAUAUCAGCAUACCAAUUUGAGCCGGAUUCAUACCCCGAGAAUAUUGACCAAGAGGAUAGAUCAGAACCUUUGCAUGCACAGAUAUUGCAAGACAUAUUAGAGUGGUAGCGUAAAUUAUUAUUAUUAUUAUUAUUAUUAUUAUUAUUUUGGCUAAAUAAAAUUUUAGAUACAAAGUAAACAACCAC